rfam:Sphingomonas sp. LH128 Contig43, whole genome shotgun sequence.
CCGGGGAGCCGGGCAGCCGCGGGGUCGCCAAGGAAACUUGGAUGACCGCGAGGAAAGUCCGGGCUCCACGAAACAAGGGUGGCAGGUAACGCCUGCCGGGCGAGGGCGGUUUUCAGACCGUCCGAAGCCUAGGGAAAGUGCCACAGAGAGCAAACCGCCGAUGUUUUCCUCGGAAAGCAGGUAAGGGUGAAAGGGUGCGGUAAGAGCGCACCGCGCUGCCGGUAACGGUAAGCGGCUUGGUAAACCCCACCCGGAGCAAGACCGAAUAGGGGCUGCGCGCCGGCGUCUCGCGAAAGCGGGGGAGAUCGGCGGGUUCGUUUCGAACCCAGGCAGCCCGGGUUGGUCGCUUGAGCGAGGCAGCGAUGUCUCGCCUAGAGGAAUGGCUGCCGCCGCGGCGUAAGGUCCCUCUCUUUGGGAGACCACGCCAGGAACAGAACCCGGCUUACAGGCUCCCCGGCGCA